rnacentral:rRNA from 1 species
UACGGAGGGGGCUAGCGUUGUUCGGAAUUACUGGGCGUAAAGCGCACGUAGGCGGCUUUGUAAGUUAGAGGUGAAAGCCCGGGGGCUCAACUCCGGAAUUGCCUUUAAGACUGCAUCGCUAGAAUUGUGGAGAGGUAAGUGGAAUUCCGAGUGUAGAGGUGAAAUUGUAGAUAUUCGGAAGAACACCAGUGGCGAAGGCGACUUACUGG